AUUGAACGCUGGCGGCAGGCUUAACACAUGCAAGUCGAACGAGCGGCGGACGGGUGAGUAAUGUCUGGGGAACUGCCCGAUGGAGGGGGAUAACUACUGGAAACGGUGGCUAAUACCGCAUACUAUCGGAUGAACCCAUAUGGGAUUAGCUAGUAGGUGGGGUAAAGGCUCACCUAGGCGACGAUCCCUAGCUGGUCUGAGAGGAUGAUCAGCCAAACUGGGACUGAGACACGGCCCAGACUCCUACGGGAGGCAGCAGUGGGGAAUAUUGCACAAUGGGCGCAAGCCUGAUGCAGCCAUGCCGCGUGUAUGAAGAAGGCCUUAGGGUUGUAAAGUACUUUCAGCGGGGAGGCGUUACCCGCAGAAGAAGCACCGGCUAACUCCGUGCCAGCAGCCGCGGUAAUUC
rnacentral:rRNA from 1 species